rnacentral:rRNA from 1 species
AUUGAACGCUGGCGGCAUGCCUUACACAUGCAAGUCGAACGGUAACAGGUCUUCGGAUGCUGACGAGUGGCGAACGGGUGAGUAAUACAUCGGAACGUGCCCGAUCGUGGGGGAUAACGGAGCGAAAGCUUUGCUAAUACCGCAUACGAUCUACGGAUGAAAGCAGGGGACCGCAAGGCCUUGCGCGAACGGAGCGGCCGAUGGCAGAUUAGGCAGUUGGUGGGAUAAAAGAUUACCAAGCCGACGAUCUGUAGCUGGUCUGAGAGGACGACCAUCCAAGAUGGGAGUGAGACACGGCCCAGACUCCUACGGGAGGCAGCCAGGGGGAAUUGUGGACAAUGGGCGCAAGCCUGAUCCAGCAAUGCCGCGUGCAGGAUGAAGGCCUUCGGGUUGUAAACUGCUUUUGUACGGAACGAAAAGGCUCUGGUUAAUACCUGGGGCUCAUGACGGUACCGUAAGAAUAAGCACCGGCUAACUACGUGCCAGCCGCCGCCGUAAGAC